AUUGAACGCUGGCGGCAGGCCUAACACAUGCAAGUCGAGCGGAUGAAGGGAGCUUGCUCCUGGAUUCAGCGGCGGACGGGUGAGUAAUGCCUAGGAAUCUGCCUGGUAGUGGGGGAUAACGUCCGGAAACGGGCGCUAAUACCGCAUACGUCCUGAGGGAGAAAGUGGGGGAUCUUCGAACCUCACGCUAUCAGAUGAGCCCAGGUCGGAUUAGCUAGUUGGUGGGGUAAAGGCCUACCAAGGCGACGAUCCGUAACUGGUCUGAGAGGAUGAUCAGUCACACUGGAACUGAGACACGGUCCAGACUCCUACGGGAGGCAGCAGUGGGGAAUAUUGGACAAUGGGCGAAAGCCUGAUCCAGCCAUGCCGCGUGUGUGAAGAAGGUCUUCGGAUUGUAAAGCACUUUAAGUUGGGAGGAAGGGCAGUAAGUUAAUACCUUGCUGUUUUGACGUUACCAACAGAAUAAGCACCGGCUAACUUCGUG
rnacentral:rRNA from 1 species